UAACGAUGGAAGUAGAACCUGGUGGACCCCUACGACUUACUUCCCUGUCAUUGCCGUACUGCCUGGAGUACUGAUUGGGUUCCAGAGAGGCAUGGAAUAAUGGAAGGAGAAGAGAGAAGAAGACAAAAGGAGAGAGUCUGAAACCAGAAAGACCAGACGGGAAAGUGGGGAUGUGGAGAUGUUGGUAAUGAGGGUAUCCGAGGAAGCUGCUGUCUGAACCGGGAUAUCGUCCAAUCCGUAAAUAAGCUCCGUGAUGAUGCAAACGAAGACUUAAAGAGGUCAAAGGCCAGAAGAUUACACGGUGCGAAGUGGCAAAUCUGUCACUCGGCCCGAGUUUUCCAAGGACAAACUCAGCAACAUUUUCUACCACCCCACAGCCGUCUAUGGGUCCAAUGAAGUCGUUGGGUGUUUUGUUUAUACGAAGUUGUACUAACUUCUACAUCCAAAACUCUUGAAAAUGGUCUCAGUUUUUCCCCUGGUUAUCUUUCUUUCUUUGAUUUUGUCAAAUUAAAUUUCAUU